rnacentral:lncRNA from 1 species
GAAACGAUAAUCGUCACCGAUUAUCGAUCGACGGAAAAAUCGACAAAAAAUCGGCAAAAUCGCCGAUAUAUCGGCGAAAUAUCGGCGAAAUACCGAUUUAUCGGGAAAUUUCCCGAUAUUUUCCUACCAGUCCAGCCCGCGCACAGGAUACAAAAUCUGGCUCAAAAAUCGUGGAUUUAGGGUUCGUGAAAUUUAAAUCCAAUGGCACAACAACAAAGAGACCCUUAAAAUAGAUCCAGAAAACACAGGGAGCAAAAGAAAAGCAAAUUUUUUGGUUUUCUUUGGGGGUUUUGAAUGGAUGGAUUUUCUCGGAAAUCAAACGAGAAUGAAUUUUCCCGGAAAUCAAAUGGGGGAUGGAUUUUCUUGGGAAUCAAACGGGGGUUGCAAAAAAAAUAAUAUGAACGUGAUUAGAUUAGUACCUGCGAGGAUUGAGAGUGGCAGAGGAAGAUAGGUCUUUUUAGGAAGAGGAACUCUCUUGGCUGGAGGGCAGCUUCAGAAAAGGGGAAAGGGGAAUUCUCUCGGCUGGAGGGCAACUUCAGACGUGGGUGGCCCUUUUAAUUUUUAGAUUUAGUAGAGGUAAAAAAAAAAAAAAAAAAAAAAAAAUAAUAAUAAUAAUAAUA